UGGGCGUGGGCGGGAAGGCCUACACAUGCAGUCGAGCGGUAACAGGUCCCUCGGGAUGCUGACGAGCGGCGGACGGGUGAGUAAUGCAUAGGAAUCUACCCGGUAGUGGGGGAUAACCUGGGGAAACCCAGGCUAAUACCGCAUACGUCCUACGGGAGAAAGGGGGCUUUGGCUCCCGCUAUCGGAUGAGCCUAUGCCGGAUUAGCUGGUUGGUGAGGUAACGGCUCACCAAGGCGACGAUCCGUAGCUGGUCUGAGAGGAUGAUCAGCCACAUCGGGACUGAGACACGGCCCGAACUCCUACGGGAGGCAGCAGUGGGGAAUAUUGGACAAUGGGGGCAACCCUGAUCCAGCCAUGCCGCGUGUGUGAAGAAGGCCCUCGGGUUGUAAAGCACUUUCAGCGAGGAAGAACGCCUGGUGGUUAAUACCCGCCAGGAAAGACAUCACUCGCAGAAGAAGCACCGGCUAACUCCGUGCCAGCAGCCGCGGUAAUACGGAGGGUGCAAGCGUUAAUCGGAAUUACUGGGCGUAAAGCGCGCGUAGGUGGCUUGAUAAGCCGGUUGUGAAAGCCCCGGGCUCAACCUGGGAACGGCAUCCGGAACUAUCAGGCUAGAGUGCAGGAGAGGAAGGUAGAAUUCCCGGUGUAGCGGUGAAAUGCGUAGAGAUCGGGAGGAAUACCAGUGGCGAAGGCGGCCUUCUGGACUGACACUGACACUGAGGUGCGAAAGCGUGGGUAGCAAACAGGAUUAGAUACCCUGGUAGUCCACGCCGUAAACGAUGUCGACCAGCCGUUGGGUGCCUAGCGCACUUUGUGGCGAAGUUAACGCGAUAAGUCGACCGCCUGGGGAGUACGGCCGCAAGGUUAAAACUCAAUGAAUUGACGGGGGCCCGCACAAGCGGUGGAGCAUGUGGUUUAAUUCGAUGCAACGCGAAGAACCUUACCUACCCUUGACAUCCUUGCCGAACGUGUGAGAAGAUCACUUGGUGCCUUCGGGAGCGCAGAGACAGGUGCUGCAUGGCUGUCGUCAGCUCGUGGUUGUGAAAUGUGGGUUAAGUUCCCGUAACCAGCGCCAACCCUUGUUCUUUAUUUGCCAGCCAGUAAUGGUGGGAACUUCUAGGAGACUGGCGGUGACAACCGGGAAGAAAGGUUGGGGACUGACGUUCAGUCCUUCAUGGUCCCUUUACGGGGUUAGUGCUACACACGGUCUCUACAUUGGGCCUGGUACAAAAGGCUCGCGACCUCGCGAGAAGCUCGCGAAUUCCUUGAAAGCGCGUGUUCCUAAUGUCGGCGAUACUUCGAUGACUG
rnacentral:rRNA from 1 species